rnacentral:lncRNA from 9 species
UUUUUUUAUGUAAAUGUUUUAUAUAAUAUUUUGCUGCUUAUGAGUAAUAUACUCACAUGUGGUUGCUUGCUUUCAAGUAAUAGAUCAAUCUCCUAUAAUGAUAAUUUUGUUGGUUUUCUUUUACAUUGAUAGAAUCCAUAGUCUCAUAGUUCCAGGGACUUCAUAAUCCAGCCCCUUGAAAAUCUUUUUUCCCUAUGACUCUCUUUCAGCCAGAUAAGCCCAUUUGUUGUUAAACAUGACAUGUCUUUUAUGGCUUUUUCUCCUUUGCUCAUUAAUUACUCUGUUCUCCAGUGAGAAUAUCCUUUCCUCAUUCUCCUAUUCUCACCACCCUUCAAAGAUUACCUUAUCAAGCCACGUUUGCUGGGGUGCAUUCUGUUCUUAGUACUAUAUAUUUAAAAGGGAGCCCAAAGACACCAACUUGAACUCAUGUUGAACAAGGAACAUGGGAUAUUUAGCCAGAGGAGGAGACUUAGGAGAAACAAACAAACAAACAAAAACUUUAAAUAAUUUGAAGUUUGUGAAACAGAAGAGGAAUUCUGUGUCACAGUUUAAAAGGGGAAAAGCAGAACCAGUGACAAUAAUAGUAUUUAUUAAUCCUAAAAUGCUAUCAUCUUUAAUUCUUAUACUAACUCUAUAAGGAGCCAGUAUUAUUAUACUUGUUUUACAAUGUAGAAAUUGAGGAUUGAAAUGAUCUUUUUCUCAAGGUAUUAGAGGUGAUAAAUAACUGGAAGAGCCCAGAUUCUAACAUGGGUCUAUCUGAUUCUAGAACCUGGAUCUCUUUAUCACCACAUUAUACUGAGCAAUGCUUCACAAUCAUUUUCAUAGCAGAGCAUAAAUGCUUCUGUGGCUACUUCAGGCCCUGCAGGACAGCUAGGGAAUAGAUAAGUCAGCACAUCUGUAAUACCCUGGGGCACCUGAGGAUGAUGGACACAGGGACUGGGAAGCUCUGGAGAGCACUAUCAGAUUCAGUAAGGAGGCAAAUUAGAGCAUAAGGAAGAACAUUAUCUUUAAGGACUUGAAAUAGGAUGUCUCAUGAAAGUAAAUUCUGUUAUUACUGGAGAGGAUUUUUUUGUAAACAGCCAUUUAUUAAUGAUGUGGUACAAGGAAUUCAUCUAGUUGGAUUAAAGGAUCUCUGUUAUUUCCCUGGUGAAAUGAUUCUGAGUUACAUUUCUUUUAUGAUGCCCUUUCCUCCAAGCCAGCUCCCAAAGAUUCUACCUCCUAUUAACUAUACUAGGACUUGUCAGCACUGAUAUUUGUAUUUAUCAGCCACUACCUUGUGACAUUUCUAGUAUGUCUAGGUAACUACUGCCUAUUGUUUAUCUUCUCACUUAGGAGCCUAAACCUCUAGUAGCAAUUAUAAGCUCCUUAAGGUCAGCAUCCAUAUAUUAAAUGUCUUCUUAUCUCCUACAGAAAGUAAAAUAUUCCUAUUGAAUAGGGAGAGGGAAAAUGCCAAGACUGAACUGAGACUGGAGAUGAUUAUUUAUCUACAUUAUUCUCUCUCAUUUCCUAUUUCUGAAUAUAGUACACUUGACUGUCUACCUAUUUUUGAGCAUUAAAAUAAAAUCAACUCUGUACCAACACACUACAAAAUGUCCUUCAAAAUUCUAUAGAAAAAGAAUAAAUAUGGACUUACCAGCUCCUGGAAAGAAAAGCUCUGCAAAGAAAUACCACUUGCUGGAAUAACUCAACUUCUCUCCUCUUGCUCCCAAGAAAAAAGAAUUUGGUUAUCUGGCAAUGGUUGUUGCAAAAAUUAACUAAAAAGGAUGCUUUGCUAAAAGGAGAACCAAAUGGCAACGUGGAAUGUUCUUUGAGACAAGAGCCAGAAGUCUUACAUGCCCAUUUACCAACUCCUAAGAUGCCUUAAACAUCUCCAGACUUAACCCGAUUGUUCAGUUGAAUCAUGUUAAAUACCUGGCAUCCUACUGAGGAGAAUGUGCUGAUGUUCUUCCAUAAACCGAAAAGCUCCGUUUCCACCGCCUUCGCUCAACAACAGUGAAGAUCUACGUUCCCUUGAGGGAAAUAUGGGAAGAAACUACCUUAAAAUUAUCAUAAAAUCAAGCUUAAGCUAAACCAAAAGGGAAAUGGUUGGUACAUUUUGUCAUAGAAAUAUAAUGAAAUAAGACUCCGAAGUAUUCUCCUUCCAUCUAGCUGUGAAUUAAUAGUAAAAAAAAAAAAGUAAAACACCGUUAAAGGCCUUUUAUCCUCAUACAUAUUUAAAAUUUAAUGACCAGAUGUGCUUGCUAUUUCUGUUUUAAUUGAGCUGUGAGAAUCCAG